GAUGAACGCUGGCGGCGGGCCUAAUACAUGCAAGUCGAGCGGAUGAAGGGAGCUUUUUCCUCGAUUGAGUGGGCGGCGGGCGGGUGAUUCACACGUAGCUGACCGGCCGUGGGGGAUAACGUACGGUAAGGGACCCUAAUCUCACAUCCGUUAAGAGGGUGAAACAGAGGGUUCAUCGGUGAUAGAGCUAUUUGCUGAGCCUAGGUAGGAUUAGCUAGUUGGUGGGGUAAAGGCCUACCAAGAUGACGAUCCGUAACUGGUCUGAGAGGCUGAUCGGCCACACUGGAACUGAGACACGGUCCAGACUCCUACGGGAGGCAGCAGUGGGGAAUAUUGGACAAUGGGCGAAAGCCUGACGCAGCAAGGCCGCGUGGGUGAAGAAGGUCUUCGGAUGGUAAAGCCCUUUAAGUUGGGAGGAAGGGAAGUAAAUUAAAACCUUCAUGUUUUGACGGUACCUACAGAGUAAGCAACGGCUAACUACGUG
rnacentral:rRNA from 1 species